UGUAGAUGCUCCUACUGGUUACA
rnacentral:piRNA from 1 species